rnacentral:rRNA from 1 species
AAACGGCCGCGGUACCCUAACCGUGCAAAGGUAGCAUAAUCAUUUGCCUUUUAAUUGUAGGCUUGUAUGAAUGGUUUGACGAGAGCUAAGCUGUCUCUUUCUUAAUAUUUAAAAAUUAACUUUUAGGUGAAGAGGCCUAAAUAAAACUAAGGGACGAGAAGACCCUAUUGAGCUUUAGUGAAGCAAUAAGUUUUGAGUGUAAUUAAAUUUACGAAUUGUUAUAUAUUUAUAGAGUUUUAUUUUGUUGUGAAUCUUUAGUUGGGGCGACUGAGGAACAAAAAAAGCUUCCUUUGUAUUAUAAGAUUUUGAUUUAUUUGAUACGAUGUUAGCUAGCUAUUUGAUCCAGUAUUUAUUGAUUAAGGGAAAAAGUUACCAUAGGGAUAACAGCGUAAUCUUUCUGGAGAGAUCAUAUCGAAAGGAGGGUUUGCGACCUCG